GAUGAACGCUGGCGGCGUGCCUAAUACAUGCAAGUCGAGCGAACAGACGAGGAGCUUGCUCCUCUGACGUUAGCGGCGGACGGGUGAGUAACACGUGGAUAACCUACCUAUAAGACUGAGAUAACUUCGGGAAACCGGAGCUAAUACCGGAUAAUAUAUUGAACCGCAUGGUUCAAUAGUGAAAGACGGUUUUGCUGUCACUUAUAGAUGGAUCCGCGCCGCAUUAGCUAGUUGGUAAGGUAACGGCUUACCAAGGCAACGAUGCGUAGCCGACCUGAGAGGGUGAUCGGCCACACGGGAACUGAGACACGGUCCAGACUCCUACGGGAGGCAGCAGUAGGGAAUCUUCCGCAAUGGGCGAAAGCCUGACGGAGCAACGCCGCGUGAGUGAUGAAGGUCUUCGGAUCGUAAAACUCUGUUAUUAGGGAAGAACAAAUGUGUAAGUAACUAUGCACGUCUUGACGGUACCUAAUCAGAAAGCCACGGCUAACUACGUG
rnacentral:rRNA from 1 species